AUACGGAGGGUGCGAGCGUUAAUCGGCAUUACUGGGCGUAAAGCGUACGUAGGCGGUUGGUUAAGUUAGAUGUGAAAGCCCCGGGCUUAACCUGGGAACUGCAUUUAAAACUGGCGAACUAGAGUUGAGUAGAGGGGAGUGGAAUUUCAGGUGUAGCGGUGAAAUGCGUAGAGAUCUGAAGGAACACCAGUGGCGAAGGCGACUCCCUGGACUCGAACUGACGCUGAGGUACGAAAGCGUGGGUAGCAAACGGGAUUAGAAACCCUAGUAGUCC
rnacentral:rRNA from 1 species